CCUACGGGAGGCAGCAGUGAGGAAUAUUGAGCAAUGGGCGCAAGCCUGACUCAGCAACGCCGCGUGGGCGAUGAAGGCCUUCGGGUUGUAAAGCCCUUUUCUGGGGGACGAGGAAGGACGGUACCCCAGGAAUAAGUCACGGCUAACUACGUGCCAGCAGCCGCGGUAACACGUAGGUGGCGAGCGUUAUCCGGAUUCACUGGGCGUAAAGCGCGUGCAGGCGGUUCCGUAAGUCGGACGUGAAAGCUCCGGGCUUAACUGGGAGAGGCCGUUCGAUACUGCGGGGCUUGAGGUCGGGAGAGGGACGUGGAAUUCCUGGGGUAGUGGUGGAAUGCGUAGAGAUCGGGAGGAACACCAGAGGCGAGGGCGGCUCUCUAUGC
rnacentral:rRNA from 1 species